rnacentral:lncRNA from 1 species
AUGCUGUGUAUUUCAGCGAGCAAUUGUGAAAUGAUCAGUCAAUUUUUGCACUUGCGAUUUCGGUUCGUGAAUGAUAACCUCGCUGUCCUGUUAACCAUCUCUCUAGUUCCAUAUGUCUUACCUUUGUAUCCCGAAAUUCUAAACGUCAGUGCGGAGCAGGUUUUUUAUUUAUUGAACAAAACGAGAAUUUUGGGUGAUGUCAUACAGACGGCUCCAAAAUACACAUGUAUGGUAUCAUACUUUGAGAACACUGCCGUGGAGCUGGGAAACGUUCUUGAGGCAAAGCUGAUCAGAUAUCCUCCCCACUGGUGCCGGUGGACCGGUGAAAAGAGUAGCUACUACACAUUUUUGGUGACGGGUCCGGACGAGCCAAGUAGAGAGCAUCCCGCGGAGGGAGAAUAUAUUCACUGGCUCGUUGGAAAUAUAAAGGGUGACAAAUACUUCAAGAAAAGAGUACAUUUAUGAAUACAUUGGACCUGAUCCAAAAAAAGGAACAGGUAUAAAUUAGUCCUUAAUACAAGACGUAUCCUACUCAAUAGUCAAAAAGCAUCCAAAUAACCAUCUACUUCCAAUUGAGAAGGGAAAGGGGGAGGGGGAUGAAGUGUUUGAGCUUAUAAAUUAGUAUUAUCAUCUUCUGGAGGAUUUAAAAAAAAAGACGUUCCAACGCAGUUGCGUUGGAGGGCGCUUCUCUCAGUGGCAGAAGGAAGUAAUAUGGUUGCCCAUACACUGUUAAAAAUCAGUGAUUUACUCUGAGUGAAUAGCCGGCGUGAAAAAAAAUCCAGCGGGAAUUUCGCGCCGUACUCUGAGUGAAUAGAACAGAGCGUAAAUAUCACCAACGACGGACGGAUUAGUUGAGGUACCUCAAGUAGCGUGAACUCAGGAUAUCCUGAUACGAGCGCAAGUUGGCGAAGUGGUAGCGUACUCGUCCAUCACCGCCGCCGCGGCCCGAGUUCAAAUCCAUACUGCGGCGGUUCCGUUUUAUGUUGCCUGUCAGAUUCUCACCCCCGCCAGAGCGCGAAAUUCGCACUUUGGAUGAUCUCGAUAGGAAAACACCAUUUUGUACUUAAUAGCUCAUUCUGAUACACACGAUUUUCCACCAAAUGUUGGUCUUCUACGCACUCAGUCCUCCCUCAUGCUUCAUUCACGAGGUCUAGUAUAUCUAAAGAGCUAGAGGUACUGACCUUAACAAUUCUAAAAUGGAUAUGUAUUCUUUACAGGGAAACACAGAGUAGUCUAUUUAGUAUUCAAGCAACUAAUGGAAAGUUAAAGUUUGAUGAACAAAGAUUAAAUGACACUACGUAAGUAUUUUGCAAUGCAAUUCAUCUACAAAUCACAUUUCACAUGCUUUAAUGCUCUGAGUAUUAAAAAUUCAUAACACAAGUUAAAUCAAAGAAAAGGUUUUAAAAAUUGUCCAAACAAUGUAAGGAAACUUUACUUGCUUACUUAAAUCGCUCAUAUGCUCUAUAAAGUUUACGUGGGGUAUGAAGAAUCGAGGUUAGGUUGCAAAUGAAGGAAUAUUCACGUCAUUAUGAUUGAAUUUGAAUGUGCGGAGAAAUAUUGAUUUUGUUUCUUUUACAUUUCUCGCACAAGUUGUCAUCUCUUUUUUUCGAUAGUCACGUGCUUUUUAGCCAUACCACAGCUUCUCCUAAAUUUCAAACAAAAAAUGAGCAUUCAACGAUCCUUUAAUUUUCUCAACAAGUUUUCAUUUUCCCUGAGACAUUUUUUAAAGGUUUGGUUUAAUUUUUUUUUUUUUUUUUAGACGAGAAAAUCCAUAUCGGAAGAACUUUUCCUGUGGCAAGUUCGCGAAAAAAUACAAUCUUGGUGACCCUGUGGCUGCUAAUUUUCUGUACGUAGAGUGGGGGAUCAACAAGUCGAGAGUUAUUCCUCCAUGGUCAAUGGAGGAAAAGUUACGCUGCCAACACAUCCUGACUAUGUCUGGGAUCCAGAAGAAAAUAUGCCGUGGUUUUUGAGCAAAAAGGAUCUAGAGAAACCGGUCACACCGGAACCCUUUUGAGUGAUGAAUAUGAUGAAUAUACGCUUAUUAAGAUAUUGCGUGUGCAAUCAACAUUGAUGAGGAAUAACUGAGCAUUUCUAAGGCGCAAACAUAUAAUUAAGGCAAAGUGCACUGAAUCGACAAUAAGAACUAGAAAACUGACUUUUUCCAUCAUUCAGAUAAAAGACAAGAAAAAAUAUAUUAAUGAAUGUGACUUUGCUGAAUAAAAACAGAAACAUGUUUUAAGUCAAAUCAGUUACGUAUUUUUUCUGCGUCUCCCAAAAAUUCUCCCCCCGACAUAUUUCCGUCAUGUAGGAAAAUCGAAAGAAAGCAGAAAGCGUAGAGGACGCCCUGCCAAUCGUGGAUUGAGGGAAUAAGGCAGGAAAUGAGGAGAUGCGAUCUGCCGGAGGAGCUCUAGCGGGAUCGUUAUCAGUGGCGGUUGGGUGUCGCAGAGCGCGCAGAAGCACUAUAAGAGCGACUUGUUAGUUAGGAAAAUCGACGAGGUCCGGGUGGCAAUCGGUUCAACCAGGCUGUAUAAAAUUUUAGCCAAUUCAAUC